AAAAUGGGAAAGAAUAAAUUAAAGGAUCAAAUAUGGCAAAGGUCACAGUGCUUUAGUUUACAACAGGAUCCAGAUUUUACAUUAAUUGAUCCAAAAGUGUUAAAAGUGUUUUACUUAUUUUAUUUAUUUAUAGUUAUACUGUUUAUUUAUUAUAUAUAUAUGUAUGUGUGUGUGUGUGUGUGUGUGUGUGUGUAUAAAAAUAACAAAAACUUAAUUAAAUCAAACAGUGCAAUGUAUUAAUUAAAAUGAACUGAAUUAUAAACAUAAAAAGGCUGAACAGAAAAACUGACUUAAUAUACUUAAUAUACCAUUCAAAAGUUUGAGGUUGGUAAGAUUGUUUAAUGCUUUUUGCUCACCAAAUCUGCAUUUAUUUGAUCAAAAAUACAGUAGAAAUUGUGAAAUAUUAUUACAAUGUUAAUCAGCUGUUUUCUAUGUGAAUAUAUAGUAAACUAUAAUUUAUUUCUGUGAUCAAAGCUGAAUUUUCAGCAUCAUUACUCCAGUCUUCAGUGUCACAUGAUCCUUCAGAAAUCAUUCUAAUAUGAUGAUUUGAUGAUCAAGAAACAUUUCUGAUUAUUAUCAAUGUUGAAAACUGUUCAGAUUUAAUAUAAUAUAAUAUAAUAUAAUAUAAUAUAAUGGUCAUGAGCGAAAGGAGUUUGAAUAUUUCCUAAUCCAGUUCCCCCGUUUCCUAUUUCUUUUCUCUCUGUACGAUCAAAGUGUCAAAGAAGCCGAAAGUGAAAUAAAAAACACCAACAUUAAGGAAACCUAUUAGCCACUGCAAAGAGCAACCUUUGAAAGGCUGUUUAAAGAGAGGCUCUUUGAGACCCACACUGCCGCUACUCAAAAUGCAGCCGCGCUAGAAGAGUGUUUUGAUCCAAGCGAGCCGUCGUCUUUUCCUCAAGCUGUUGUCCCUGGCAACCAUUUAUGGUUUCUAAGAAUACGCUGAAUCCAGAAGCUUUGUGUGAUUGCCACCGCUGGAUGAUAAGUGAGGGUGAAGGUGGGAAGAAAGCUGCGGUUGACCCGCAGUGUGUUAAUGAGUAUGGAGAUUGGGUAUUGUACAACAGAUCUGAUCCCAGAUAGAUGUUCUGUCAGCACAGCAAGAGCCGCGCUGCCAUCUGCCCUCCGCAGAAAAACAUUUUAUUGAUGCGACCUAACAUAUUCAAUAUUAAUUGUCUGCUGAAAGUCACAGGAAAGUGAAAAAUGUGCUUUGUAGAGUAACUUUGGACAUCAGUGUUGUUAUUGUUAACUAAAACUAAGCUGAAAUAAAACAUAAAUAUAAACAAUUCUUAUGGAAUAUUGCAGUGUUUAUUAUAUAUUAUCUGUGCACAUCAUUGUUUUUGAUUCAUGUUCCUCAUAAUCUCAUAAAUUAGAAUAUCUUCUCCCUCUUGUGUCUCUUCUCUUCUCUGAUAACAAGGGCGGGGCAACCUGUCACUCACAUGAGAUCCACCAAUAGCAAACCACAACCAUCCAAUCAAUUCCCCACAGACAAAAUCAAGCCCCGCCCUACAUUUGUUCUUGUUUGAAAAGCGUCUCACUCGGAUAUACGACACAAAAGACUGGAAUAAAUAACAAAAGAAAAGAAAAUACUGAAAUAAAUAAGUUUACUAAAACUAAAAUACAUUAAAGCUAAAUAAAUAAUUGGAAAAAGUUAUAAAAAUGACAAAAGUACACAACAAAAUAGCUAAAACUAAAAUAAUAGUAUAAUAGAAGUCAAGUCAUAUUUAUUUCUAUAGUGCGUUAUACAAUACAGACUGUUUCAAAGCAGCUUUACAGGGAUAAACAAGAAAAUAAUGAUUCAAAUCUGCUGUAAAUCAGCUCUAAAAAGACAAUAAUGUCAUUGUUCAGCUGAGGUCAGUUCAGUGUUAAUAGCAUAUAAAUAAUACUAAAAUAACACCGAUCAUAAAUCCAUACAAUUGAGAGACUGCAGGCAAAUGCAGGUGUAGCGCUGCUGAAAUCUGUAGUUAGUGUUUAUAUCAAUCUCCAGCUUUGAAUAUUCUCAUUUUCAACAUCAUGUCAUGUCAGUGAACUUCUCAUCGACACAUAAAAAUGUUUUUCUUCUGGUGUUAGAACUCUGUGUGUCUGUGUGUGUAAUUUGGCCCUUGCUGGAUAUCAUUUGAGUGUCGUUUUUACUGUAAGAGCCCUCAUUUUGUUUGGCUCCAGGUCAGCUCUGAACCGUUACAGCGCUGAAAGAACCCAAUGUUCCCCAUCAGCCCCGCAGAACAAGCCCACGUCGCCUGGCCCUGAGUGAAACCUCCAACGGGAGUGUAAACACGCGUGUAUGAAAGCGUCUCUAUCUCUGUUUAGCAGGAGGGGUGUUGAUUUCCCGGAGAGCCGGUGGAGGAAACACUGCGAACAUACAUCUCUCUUUGACCUACUGUUACAUUUCAUUUUGUAUCUUUGAGCAUGCAAAUAGAGUGCAUUUUCACAAAUAAAUAAAAAUGACAUACAGCGUUUGUAUUAAAUUUCUGCACAGAACCAUUAAAAAAUACAGCUGAACUUUCUUUAUUUUGUGAUAAUGACCGGCUGACUGUACAUUCCACGUAAUACACUGCACCAAAUAAAACAAAAUAAAAUAAAAUCUCAGAAACAGAACUUUAUAUAGAUCAGUGUUUUUUUUUCUGUUAGAGAUAUAUAAACCCAAUUCAUAUAUAUUAUAUAUAUUAGUGCUGUCAAAUCAGUUAAUCGCAAUUAAUCACAUAUAAAUCCCACAUAAAUACACACACACACAAUCGUAAUUAAUCGCAUAUAUAUAUAUAUAUAUAUAUAUACAUACACACGCACACACAAAUACACACACAAACACAUUAUAUUUAAACAUAGUGCCUAUUUUACAACUUGUUUUGAUGCUUUCGCAGAUGCGAGCUCCAGGUCAUCAGCAGCCGUUCAGAGCUCAUCUACCCGCAGAGAACAGCUUCAUCUCGGUCAGUCUUUCAAGAAUUUGCCGCUGGCCCUUAUGUAGAUAAUGGUUAAGUGAGAUAUCAUUCAUUUGGGGUAUAUCAAACAGGCAAUCUUUGGUCUUAUAAAUCUAUUACUUGUUCCAGAUCAGAACGAUUUGGGUUAAAGGGAAAAGUAAGUUUAAUAACUUUAUAUUUUGGCUAUAACUUAAACCCUGUACUAGAGCGCAACUUUUGUACGAAUUUGACUGAAUUAUUUGCUUGUGUGUUUUAUUUAUUUGAUUGUGUUUAUUGUUUGUUUGUGUUUAUGUCUUUCAUAAUGGCUAUUGUUCAUUUAUUAUAAUGUUGUUCAUUUUAUAUAAAUAAUAUGCCGUAUUGAGAAAGGGGCUGUCAAUAGUAUUAGUGAAAGUUACAUUAUUACGCCAUUAGAUGGCGGCAAAGACUCUGUUUAUGAGUGAGUCAGAACAAGAAAGUUGUGUUAGCGCUGUGGGAAAUCCUCUUAACUUUUAAAAGGACAAAGAUGUCCUCAGUGGACAUUCCAACUGAUGUUUUUUAUAAUGGAUAUAAUAUUAUGGAUAUCGACCUGAGGAAGGAAUGCUAAUCAGAUGCAGGGCUCAAAAGCAUCUGUCCCCAUGGGAAAGAGCAGCCAGGAUGUGGAAGAAAAUCACAAAGGUCGACGGCGCAGUGGAAGCCAGCGGCCCAGCCUAGUCCUGCUGCGUGUUUGCGGUGCGAGCCUGACCCGUGCUGAGCCUGCGGUCGAGCUGCUGGGACAUCGCUGCAGGCUUUUGAGAAAACACAGACCCAAAUGACCAGAGUCAGUGUAAUUUCAGAGCAGAGGAUGUUUAUGAAAAAUCUGACAUGAUGUUCUGCAGUAAUCUCUCACGAAAAGCCAGGAAGGAUUGGCAGAGUGAAAAGUUGUUUUCGUUGGUGGUUAUUAGGAUGAUGGCUGCAUCUUCUUGAACACCCGCUGCUAGCCUCAUGUUUUAAUUUAUGGACAACAAUAAUUACCAGCAGGCUUGAUUAAUUAUGUCUAAACAAUAUGCUCCUCGCACACAUGCCACAAGGGCUAAUUAUCCUAACAAACAGGAUGGGCUGGGACAGUUGGAGGUUAUCAGCAGAAGUCACAACCGUAUGAACGCCUUUAAAUGUCACAGACCUACUAAAAAACACGGGCUUUCCGUGCCACAAUGCCUGGCUAUUCAUUCUCAAGCCCCUCCUCUCUUUUACCUUCCUCUGGCCCAAAUGAAGUCAUACACAUUUUGUUAAAUGACGCCAUGGAGUGAGUUAUGAGAGCCUGUCAAAAGGGCCGAGAUUCCAGCCAUUUUUCCGUCCCCUCCCGGUUUCCCUGCUCUUUCAACUCCACUGCAGGGGUGGACGCUUCAUUCGUGUCACACAGCGCUCUUAUAAUGGCACAACAACAAAAAAAUCUAUUUAGAAGCUAAAGCCAGUAGUGAGAGUCAGUUUUCUUUUCCAAAGCCUCAUCUUGUAAAAAGCCAUUACAGCUCUGACUCAGCUUUGAUAGCGUUGUUGAAUCUUAACCACUUCUUGGUAUCUUGGGAUCUAAUUAAAAAGACAAUUACUGCGCUCAACAUUAAAAUGCUGUGAUGAUCCGGACACACCUGUGAUUGCUGAGAUGUCGAACAUCUCUAAGUCUUCAACAUCCAGACUACGUCCUCUGAACAGUGUUCUUUGUUGUUAGGUUUGUUUUGUAUUUACAGCGUUAUCAUCCUAUAUUUUGUCUUAUUAUGUCAUGACCAAAACAUAAUAAAUAAAAAACUAAAUAAAUAAGAUGACAUCAUUAGGGUAUCACAGCCCUACAGCUGUUAAUAAAAAAGCUUUCUGUUGAUGUAUGGUUUGUUAGGAUACGACAGUAUUUUGAAAUUUUAAAUUCUGGAAUCUGAGGGUGCAAAAAAAAAUCAAAAUAUUGAGAAAAUCGCCUUUAAAGUUGUCCAAAUGAAGUCCUUAGCAACACAUAUCCACUCACAAAAAUACAUUUUUGAUAUAUUUACGGUAGGAAAUUUACAAAAUAUCUUCAUGGAACAUGAUCUUUACUUAAUAUCCGAAUGAUUUUUGGCAUAAAAGAAAAAUCGCUAAU